rnacentral:rRNA from 1 species
UGGGGAAUUUUGGGACAAUGGGGGGAAACCCUGAUCCAGCCAUCCCGCGUGUGCGAUGAAGGCCCUCGGGUUGUAAAGCACUUUUGGCAGGAAAGAAACGUCGCGGGUUAAUACCCCGCGAAACUGACGGUACCUGCAGAAUAAGCACCGGCUAACUACGUGCCAGCAGCCGCGGUAAUACGUAGGGUGCAAGCGUUAAUCGGAAUUACUGGGCGUAAAGCGUGCGCAGGCGGUUCGGAAAGAAAGAUGUGAAAUCCCAGAGCUUAACUUUGGAACUGCAUUUUUAACUACCGGGCUAGAGUGUGUCAGAGGGAGGGUGGAAGUUCCGCGUGUAGCAGUGAAAUGCGUAGAUAUGCGGAGGAACACCGAUGGCGAAGGCAGCCUCCUGGGAUAACACUGACGCUCAUGCACGAAAGCGUGGGGAGCAAACAGGAUUAGAUACCCUGGUAGUCCACGCCCUAAACGAUGUCAACUAGCUGUUGGGGCUUCGGGCCUUGGUAGCGCAGCUAACGCGUGAAGUUGACCGCCUGGGGAGUACGGUC